CGGUGGCAAGAUUCCCUACGAUAAUGGCAUCUUAGUAAAACCUAAAGGAAAUAGAUGAAGGAGGAGGAGAGGAACAUUCUAGGCUGAGGGAUGAACAAAGGUCCUCAGGCAGGAAGGACACAAACAUUUAAGAAACUAAAAGGAAUCAGGAUUUCCUGGAGAGUGCCAAGGUGACCAGAGGAAUAUCCCACACCACAGUAAAUGCCCAAUGAAGGAAGGCGUUAGCCAAGGGGAGAGGUGCUGAAAGAACAGCUCCCUGGCAUCUCCUAAACUUGGGACAACGGCUACAGUUUUUCCUCCUUGGUAAAUUCUUCCUUGUUCAUUUUUA